rnacentral:lncRNA from 1 species
CACGGACAGAGUCUCCCCUGUAUUUGCACGGCGUCGCACAAGUACAAGGUACAAACAGGAUACAACCAUAAUAACUAGAUGAAUAUAAAGACAGCUAUACAUUCAUACAUUCACCAUUCACAUCACAGUUUUACAUUCAAUGUUUAAACAAAAAUCCACGUAAAACCUUUUAAAAAAAACUGUUCCCUACGCGGAAACUUUUAUCUUUUAAAGAAUACUACCACGAGGGGUAGAAAACCUUUUUAUUUUACCAAAUCCAGAAAUCCUUUUAUUACAUUCAUGAAAAUCCACAUAUUCAAAAGUAAUGACAAUACUGAACCAUAUAAAUUAUCUGAGCUAUAUCAACGGAAUAGUAAAGAUAGGAACUACACCGAAUAACCUGGGUCGGAAGAUCUAUCGACCGCUACGUACGUGUCUCACGUCACGUCUCAACCCUCACCGCCCGCGAUACCUGAA